rnacentral:rRNA from 1 species
UAAUACAGAGGGUGCAAGCGUUAAUCGGAGUUACUGGGCGUAAAGGGCGCGUAGGCGGUCAUGCAAGUGAGAUGUGAAAUCCCCGGGCUUAACCUGGGAACUGCAUUUUAGACUGUAUGACUGGAGUACUGUAGAGGAUAGUGGAAUUUCCGGUGUAGCGGUGAAAUGCGUAGAGAUCGGAAGGAACACCAGUGGCGAAGGCGACUGUCUGGACAGAUACUGACGCUGAGGCGCGAAAGCGUGGGGAGCAAACAGG